rnacentral:rRNA from 1 species
AGAUUGAACGCUGGCGGCAUGCCUUACACAUGCAAGUCGAACGGUAACAGGUCUUCGGAUGCUGACGAGUGGCGAACGGGUGAGUAAUACAUCGGAACGUGCCCGAUCGUGGGGGAUAACGGAGCGAAAGCUUUGCUAAUACCGCAUACGAUCUAGGAUGAAACGCAGGGGACCGCAAGGCUUGCGCGGACGGAGCGGCGAUGGCAGAGUUAGGUAGUUGGUAGGAAUAAAGCUUAACAAGCCGACGAUCUGUAGCUGGUCUGAGACGGACGACCACGCCACACGUGGUAC